GCGCCUAUAGCUCAGGUGGAUAGAGCACAGGAUUCCUAAUCCUGGUGUCCCAGGUUCGAGUCCUGGUAGGCGCG
rnacentral:tRNA from 1 species